rnacentral:lncRNA from 1 species
UAGUGUUUAUGCAAAAAUAAUUUAGAAAACCAUAAAAAUCCCUGAAGAAAGUCUGAGAAAGAGGUGCAAGGAGAGAGGGAGAAUUUCCAGCUUCAUCAAAACUGUGUGCAGAUGGAGCCUCUGCAGGCCACAGCUCUUUCCUCAGCAGACAUCAUCCUGCCUGUUACAGAGGAAGUGGGCACUGCCGGGCAGAGCCCCAGCUCUUCUGCACCACGUUCAAGAAGGCAGGCACCACACAGGCAACCUCACGCCUCCUUCGGAAGCAGAUGGAGUUUUUUUUUUUUUUUUUUUUUUUUUUUUUUUUUUUUGCACAAGGUUACUCUAACCUGUUUGUCUUCUUGGGGUAACUUGUUCAUUCAUAUAUGAAUUGUCACCCAUUCUAUCAAACAAAUAAAAUCACCAUGACAAUUGCUAUUUUUAGGCGCAUUUUAAAGCUAUAAAUGAGAUCAUGUUAGUUAAUAAAAAUUAUCUCCUCAGUUAAA